CCUACGGGAGGCAGCAGUGGGGAAUUUUGGACAAUGGGGGCAACCCUGAUCCAGCAAUGCCGCGUGAGUGAAGAAGGCCUUCGGGUUGUAAAGCUCUUUUGUCAGGGAAGAAACGGUCCGGGCUAAUAUCCUGGGCUAAUGACGGUACCUGAAGAAUAAGCACCGGCUAACUACGUGCCAGCAGCCGCGGUAAUACGUAGGGUGCAAGCGUUAAUCGGAAUUACUGGGCGUAAAGCGUGCGCAGGCGGUUGUGCAAGACAGAUGUGAAAUCCCCGGGCUUAACCUGGGAAUUGCAUUUGUGACUGCACGGCUAGAGUGUGUCAGAGGGGGGUAGAAUUCCACGUGUAGCAGUGAAAUGCGUAGAGAUGUGGAGGAAUACCGAUGGCGAAGGCAGCCCCCUGGGAUAACACUGACGCUCAUGCACGAAAGCGUGGGGAGCAAACAGGAUUAGAUACCCUGGUAGUCCACGCCCUAAACGAUGUCAACUAGUUGUCGGGUCUUAAUUGACUUGGUAACGCAGCUA
rnacentral:rRNA from 1 species